rnacentral:tRNA from 1 species
AUUUUAGAUAGUAUAGAAGUACGUUUACCUUCCAAGUAAGAAGUCUCGUUAGAUUGAGUCUACCAU